GAUGAAGAGAAGUAGUCAGAUCUAGGAUCUACUGUGAAGAUAGGGCCAAGAAGAUUAUCUGAUGUGGGUCGUGAUGCAGAGUGUAAAAAAAAGAGAGGUGUCAAGGAAGACUCUAAGACUCAUAUGAGUAACAGGGAGAAAAGUCUAAUUAUUCAGCUGAGGAACAUUGUAGGUGAUGGGGUCUGGGGAGAAGCAGUAAGUUUUUGGGGCAAAUCAGCAGUGCCAUUUUGGGUAGGUUAAGUUUGAGAGACCUUUUAGAUAUCCAAACGAAGAGAAGUAGGACGUUGGAUACCUAAGUUUGAGGCUUGGAUACAUAAGUCCAAGAUUCAGUCCUGGGGUUUGGAUAUGUAAGUCUGAGAUUCAGGCCUGGGGUUUGGAUAUGUAAGUCUGAGAUUCAGGCCUGGGGUUUGGAUACAUAAGUCUGAGAUUAGGACUGGAGUUUGGAUACGUAAGUCUGAGAUUCAGGACUGGGGUUUGGAGACGUAAGUCUGAGAUUCAGGACUGGGGUUAGGAUAUGUAAGUCUGAGAUUCAGGCCUGGGGUUAGGAUAUGUAAGUCUGAGAUUCAGGACGGGGGUUUAUAUACAUAAGUCUGAGAUUCAGGACUGGGGUUUAUAUACAUAAGUCUGAGAUUCAGGACUGGGGUUUAUAUACAUAAGUCUGAGAUUCAGGAAUGGGGUUUGGAUAUGUAAGUCUGAGAUUCAGGACUGGGGUUUAGAUAUUAAUCUGAGGACUGGGGCU
rnacentral:lncRNA from 10 species